UGUAUAAUGGGUCAGCGACUUAUAUUCUGUAGCAAGGUUAACCGAAUAGGGGAGCCGAAGGGAAACCGAGUCUUAACUGGGCGUUAAGUUGCAGGGUAUAGACCCGAAACCCGGUGAUCUAGCCAUGGGCAGGUUGAAGGUUGGGUAACACUAACUGGAGGACCGAACCGACUAAUGUUGAAAAAUUAGCGGAUGACUUGUGGCUGGGGGUGAAAGGCCAAUCAAACCGGGAGAUAGCUGGUUCUCCCCGAAAGCUAUUUAGGUAGCGCCUCGUGAAUUCAUCUCCGGGGGUAGAGCACUGUUUCGGCAAGGGGGUCAUCCCGACUUACCAACCCGAUGCAAACUGCGAAUACCGGAGAAUGUUAUCACGGGAGACACACGGCGGGUGCUAACGUCCGUCGUGAAGAGGGAAACAACCCAGACCGCCAGCUAAGGUCCCAAAGUCAUGGUUAAGUGGGAAACGAUGUGGGAAGGCCCAGACAGCCAGGAUGUUGGCUUAGAAGCAGCCAUCAUUUAAAGAAAGCGUAAUAGCUCACUGGUCGAGUCGGCCUGCGCGGAAGAUGUAACGGGGCUAAACCAUGCACCGAAGCUGCGGCAGCGACACUAUGUGUUGUUGGGUAGGGGAGCGUUCUGUAAGCCUGUGAAGGUGGCCUGUGAGGGUUGCUGGAGGUAUCAGAAGUGCGAAUGCUGACAUAAGUAACGAUAAAGCGGGUGAAAAGCCCGCUCGCCGGAAGACCAAGGGUUCCUGUCCAACGUUAAUCGGGGCAGGGUGAGUCGACCCCUAAGGCGAGGCCGAAAGGCGUAGUCGAUGGGAAACAGGUUAAUAUUCCUGUACUUGGUGUUACUGCGAAGGGGGGACGGAGAAGGCUAUGUUGGCCGGGCGACGGUUGUCCCGGUUUAAGCGUGUAGGCUGGUUUUCCAGGCAAAUCCGGAAAACCAAGGCUGAGGCGUGAUGACGAGGCACUACGGUGCUGAAGCGACAAAUGCCCUGCUUCCAGGAAAAGCCUCUAAGCAUCAGGUAACAUCAAAUCGUACCCCAAACCGACACAGGUGGUCAGGUAGAGAAUACCAAGGCGCUUGAGAGAACUCGGGUGAAGGAACUAGGCAAAAUGGUGCCGUAACUUCGGGAGAAGGCACGCUGAUAUGUAGGUGAAGCGACUUGCUCGUGGAGCUGAAAUCAGUCGAAGAUACCAGCUGGCUGCAACUGUUUAUUAAAAACACAGCACUGUGCAAACACGAAAGUGGACGUAUACGGUGUGACGCCUGCCCGGUGCCGGAAGGUUAAUUGAUGGGGUUAGCGGUAACGCGAAGCUCUUGAUCGAAGCCCCGGUAAACGGCGGCCGUAACUAUAACGGUCCUAAGGUAGCGAAAUUCCUUGUCGGGUAAGUUCCGACCUGCACGAAUGGCGUAAUGAUGGCCAGGCUGUCUCCACCCGAGACUCAGUGAAAUUGAACUCGCUGUGAAGAUGCAGUGUACCCGCGGCAAGACGGAAAGACCCCGUGAACCUUUACUAUAGCUUGACACUGAACAUUGAGCCUUGAUGUGUAGGAUAGGUGGGAGGCUUUGAAGUGUGGACGCCAGUCUGCAUGGAGCCGACCUUGAAAUACCACCCUUUAAUGUUUGAUGUUCUAACGUUGGCCCGUAAUCCGGGUUGCGGACAGUGUCUGGUGGGUAGUUUGACUGGGGCGGUCUCCUCCUAAAGAGUAACGGAGGAGCACGAAGGUUGGCUAAUCCUGGUCGGACAUCAGGAGGUUAGUGCAAUGGCAUAAGCCAGCUUGACUGCGAGCGUGACGGCGCGAGCAGGUGCGAAAGCAGGUCAUAGUGAUCCGGUGGUUCUGAAUGGAAGGGCCAUCGCUCAACGGAUAAAAGGUACUCCGGGGAUAACAGGCUGAUACCGCCCAAGAGUUCAUAUCGACGGCGGUGUUUGGCACCUCGAUGUCGGCUCAUCACAUCCUGGGGCUGAAGUAGGUCCCAAGGGUAUGGCUGUUCGCCAUUUAAAGUGGUACGCGAGCUGGGUUUAGAACGUCGUGAGACAGUUCGGUCCCUAUCUGCCGUGGGCGCUGGAGAACUGAGGGGGGCUGCUCCUAGUACGAGAGGACCGGAGUGGACGCAUCACUGGUGUUCGGGUUGUCAUGCCAAUGGCACUGCCCGGUAGCUAAAUGCGGAAGAGAUAAGUGCUGAAAGCAUCUAAGCACGAAACUUGCCCCGAGAUGAGUUCUCCCUGACUCCUUGAGGGUCCUGAAGGAACGUUGAAGACGACGACGUUGAUAGGCCGGGUGUGUAAGCGCAGCGAUGCGUUGAGCUAACCGGUACUAAUGAACCGUGAGGCUUAACCUUACAACGCCGAAG
rnacentral:rRNA from 1 species